rnacentral:lncRNA from 1 species
GGGGCAUGAUUCAUGGCUGGAGUUGGAAAAUAUGAGUUUUUACCUGCACCAUUUGGUUAGCCAUACGGCUGAUAUGGUUUUAGGCUGAUUUUUAUAGUACCCUGAUAGGCCUUGUUAUCAAGACAAGCGGAAAAAGAUUGAGCAAGGUGCUAUUUAUGAGCUUAUAACAUUCUGAAAAAUCUGCGCCGUCGGAUCAAGGGUGCAAUUUCAAUUUCAAUGG